rnacentral:rRNA from 1 species
CCUACGGGUGGCAGCAGUGGGGAAUAUUGGGCAAUGGACGCAAGUCUGACCCAGCAACGCCGCGUGAAGGAAGAAGGCUUUCGGGUUGUAAACUUCUUUUAAGGGGGAAGAGCAGAAGACGGUACCCCUUGAAUAAGCCACGGCUAACUACGUGCCAGCAGCCGCGGUAAUACGUAGGUGGCAAGCGUUAUCCGGAUUUACUGGGUGUAAAGGGAGCGUAGACGGCAGUGCAAGUCUGGAGUGAAAGGCGGGGGCUCAACCCCAGGACUGCCACUGGAACUGCAUGGCUGGAGUGCGGGAGGGGCAGGCGGAAUUCCUGGUGUAGCGGUGAAAUGCGUAGAUAUCAGGAGGAACACCGGCGGCGAAGGCGGCCUGCUGGACCGCGACUGACGUUGAGGCUCGAAAGCGUGGGGAGCGAACAGGAUUAGAUACCCGAGUAGUC